rnacentral:piRNA from 1 species
UGUGCUUGGAUGAUGGGAUAGGACUUC